UGGGUCAAGUUCAAGUUACUUCGGUGUAACAUUUAUAGAAUUAACUUUUUUGACUUGGAUGACAGGUGUCCCAUCAAGGUUUUAAAUCAUGUAGAAUGGGGUUGUCCCAGUUUUCCCAUAGAAUGGGAUGUGCGGCCAUGUGGCCUUGCCCUGACACUUGGGAUAGAGAAUGUCCUAAGAUGUGAUGAUCAGAAUGCUAGGAUAAUGGCGAGACAAUCCUGUCUCGAUGCUCAAGAUGGUACCCCAGCGCGGUGUCCCACAAGAUGUCCCAUUGGGAAUUGUGUCCAUAAGUCCUAUAUCGAUGAUCCGAGAUGUUAAAUAUGUUCUAUUAUCUCUAAUAUACUUAUACACUAAAAAUCUUGCAAUUUGAAGAUCCCUAGCAUAUGCAUCAAGUGGUCAAAACUUCGAUAGUUCAAAUAAUACUAAAAAAUUGACCAUUUGAUACAUAGGCUAGAGGUCUUUAAAUUAUGUGAUUUUUAGUUUUUGAGCUGUUUAAAAGUAAUAUCCAACAGCUCGGAUCAUCAAUGUGGGAUCUCUUUUAUACAAUUCAAAAGGGUGUAACUCUAUAAGAGUUACACUAGGUGUGACUCUAUAAGAGUUACACUAGGUGUGACUUGAUCCUAUCCCUAUAUACAUACAUACAUAACAUACAUAUACAUAUACAUACAUACAUACACACACACACACACACACACACAGAUAUAUAUAUAUAAUGAGAUGCAUAUAUAGUAUUAUACAUUUUGGGUGGUUGUUGUAUCACUUCAGCUUUCAUCCUUUGCUGCUAGGUAUUAACAAGUUGCUCCCAACUACUAUAUCCUUUUUACAGAUAAAGCUUUCCUUGAAAGAAUUAAGUACAAUAAACUACAUAUGGCAACAUCAUUCUAUUGUUGAGCUGCUUGAGCAUAUUUAAUAGAUGAAGAAAGCCAGAGA
rnacentral:lncRNA from 1 species